rnacentral:rRNA from 1 species
AAAGGUGGCUAUAGCAUCGGGGAUCCACCUCUAACCAUUCCGAACAGAGCAGUUAAGCCCGAUCACGCCGAUGGUACUAUGNAGCAUCGGGGAUCCACCUCUAACCAUUCCGAACAGAGCAGUUAAGCCCGAUCACGCCGAUGGUACUAUGCAAAUGGGAGAGUAGGUAGCCGCCACUU